AUUGAACGCUGGCGGCAGGCCUAACACAUGCAAGUCGAGCGAGCGGCGGACGGGUGAGUAAUGUAUGGGGAUCUGCCUGAUGGAGGGGGAUCACUACUGGAAACGGUAGCUAAUACCGCAUACCAUCAGAUGAACCCAUAUGGGAUUAGCUUGUAGGUGGGGUAACGGCUCACCUAGGCGACGAUCCCUAGCUGGUCUGAGAGGAUGAUCAGCCACACUGGGACUGUGACACGGCCCAGACUCCUACGGGAGGCAGCAGUGGGGAAUAUUGCACAAGGGGCGCAAGCCUGAUGCAGCCAUGCCGCGUGGAUGAAGAAUGCCUUCGGGUUGUAAAGUACUUUCAGUGGGGAGGCGUUACCUACAGAAGAAGCACCGGCUAACUCCGUGCCAGCAGCCGCGGUAAUAC
rnacentral:rRNA from 1 species